CAUUAGACUUAUAUUUGUGUUUACCUAAUGUUUUACCUUGGCCUCCUUUCUUCUUGAAAGAUUUCAAAGGAGUUCCCAAAUCUUCACUCUCUUUUACCUCCGCAAUGGCAUCAUCAUCAUCAUCCGAGCUACUGGAUAUCUCUCAUGGAAUGGAGGUUGUUUCCCCGGUGACAUGAGCAUUCUCAAACAUAACAUCCACCUCCUUCAAGUUGGGAGGGCCCAUGUACCGCCACUUUG
rnacentral:lncRNA from 1 species